UUACGGCCACAUCACGUUGAAACAAUGGUUCCCGUACGAUCACCGAAGUUAAGCAACAUCGAGUCUGAUCAGUACCUAAAUGGAUGGCCACUUGAGAAUACCAGGGGCUGUAAG